AGCGAACGCUGGCGGCAGGCCUAACACAUGCAAGUCGAACGAACUCUUCGGAGUUAGUGGCGGACGGGGGAGUAACACGUGGGAACGUGCCUUUAGGUUCGGAAUCACUCAGGGAAACUUGUGCUAAUACCGAAUGUGCCCUUCGGGGGAAAGAUUUAUCGCCUUUAGAGCGGCCCGCGUCUGAUUAGCUAGUUGGUGAGGUAAAGGCUCACCAAGGCGACGAUCAGUAGCUGGUCUGAGAGGAUGAUCAGCCACAUUGGGACUGAGACACGGCCCAAACUCCUACGGGAGGCAGCAGUGGGGAAUCUUGCGCAAUGGGCGAAAGCCUGACGCAGCCAUGCCGCGUGAAUGAUGAAGGUCUUAGGAUUGUAAAAUUCUUUCAGCGGGGACGAUAAUGACGGUACCCGGAGAAGAAGCCCCGGCUAACUUCGUG
rnacentral:rRNA from 1 species